rnacentral:rRNA from 1 species
UCUUUUUGUUAUAAAUUUAAGGUUUAGCCUGCCCAAUGAAGUUUAAAUGGCCGCAGUAUUUUGACUGUGCUAAGGUAGCAUAAUCAUUAGUUUCUUAAUUAGAAGCUAGAAUGAAGGGUUGGAUGAAAGAAUAACUAUUUUAUAAUUAAUUAUUAGAAUUUUAUAUUUAGGUUAAAAAGCUUAAAUAAUUUUUAAAGACGAGAAGACCCUUUAGAGUUUGAUUUAUUAAUAUUUUUUAUAUUUUAGUAAAUAAUUUAUAUUAAUUUUUAAUAAAUUUUAUUGGGGUGAUAUAAAAAUUAAAAAAACUUUUUUAUAUAAUUAUAUAAAUUAAUAGAUUGAUGAUCCAAUAGUUUUGAUUAUAAGAUAAAAUUACCUUAGGGAUAACAGCGUAAUUUUAUUAAAGAGUUCAAAUUGACAAUAAAGUUUGCGACCUCGAUGUUGGAUUAAAA